AUACCUGGCGGCAGCCUGGAGAUGCNAGUCGAGCGGUAGAGAGAAGCUUGCUUCUCUUGAGAGCGGCGGACGGGUGAGUAAUGCCUAGGAAUCUGCCUGGUAGUGGGGGAUAACGCUCGGAAACGGACGCUAAUACCGCAUACGUCCUACGGGAGAAAGCAGGGGACCUUCGGGCCUUGCGCUAUCAGAUGAGCCUAGGUCGGAUUAGCUAGUUGGUGAGGUAAUGGCUCACCAAGGCGACGAUCCGUAACUGGUCUGAGGGGAUGAUCAGUCACACUGGAACUGAGACACGGUCCAGACUCCUACGGGAGGCAGCAGUGGGGAAUAUUGGACAAUGGGCGAAAGCCUGAUCCAGCCAUGCCGCGUGUGUGAAGAAGGUCUUCGGAUUGUAAAGCACUUUAAGUUGGGAGGAAGGGCAGUUACCUAAUACGUAUCUGUUUUGACGUUACCGACAGAAUAAGCACCGGCUAACUCUGUGCCAGCAGCCGCGGUAAU
rnacentral:rRNA from 1 species